CCAGUCGGCCGGACGGCCGCUCCCGCGAGAGCUCAGGUUCUUUUGGGGGAGGAAAGUCCGGGCUCCACGGAAACACGGUGCCGGAUAACGUCCGGCGGGGGCAACCCCAGGGAAAGCGCCACAGAGAUCGAACCGCCCGCCUUCGCCCCUUGGGGCUUCGGCGCGACAGGCCCUCGGGCUUGCCGUGCCGUAGCAGCGCAAGCUGCGAAGGCAGGUAAGGGUGAAAAGGUGCGGUAAGAGCGCACCGCGGACCCGGCAACGGGGACGGCAUGGCAAGCCCCACCGGGAGCAAAACCGAAUAGGGACGAUGCUUUUCGCGCAAGCGGGGAGGGGCCUGUUUCUGGGCCUUGUCGUCCGGGUUGGUUGCUCGAGGCGCGUAGCAAUGCGCGUCCCAGAGGAAUGGCCGUCACGUCGGGGGAGAAAUCUUCCGGCCAUCCAGAACCCGGCUUACAGGCCGGCUGGCACC
rnacentral:RNase_P_RNA from 2 species